AUUUAGCCCCGGUUGCAGUGAAAAUCCUUUCUAGUCCUGAACUUGUUUCAGGACUAGAAAGAUUGUAACGUAAAACGGGAACAUUA
rnacentral:sRNA from 1 species